AAACUUGGAUUAGAUACCCUAUUAUUAUAAAUGUAAAUUAAUAAGUUAAUUAUUAACUGUUAUGUUCAUGAAAAUUAAAGAAUUUGGCGGUAUUUUAGUCUAUUCAGAGGAACUUGUCUUUUAAUUGAUAUUCCACGAUUUAUAUUACUUAUUUUAUUAAUUUGUAUAUCGCUGUAGUUGAAUAUUUUUAAAGAAUUAAAAUGUUCAUGAUUUUUUUUAAGAAUAAAAUCAAGUCAAGGUGUAGUUUAUAAAUAAGAUUAGAUGAGUUACAAUAAAUAUAUUUAUGGAUUAUUUAAUUAAAAUUAUUUAUGAAAAUGGAUUUGACAGUAAUAUAGUAUAAAUUUACUAUAUGAUUGUAGCUCUAAAAUAUGUACAUAUCGCCCGUCACUCUU
rnacentral:rRNA from 1 species